rnacentral:rRNA from 1 species
UACGUAGGGUGCAAGCGUUGUCCGGAAUUAUUGGGCGUAAAGAGCUCGUAGGCGGUCUGUCGCGUCUGCUGUGAAAACUCAGGGCUUAACCCUGAGCUUGCAGUGGGUACGGGCAGACUAGAGUGCGGUAGGGGAGACUGGAAUUCCUGGUGUAGCGGUGGAAUGCGCAGAUAUCAGGAGGAACACCGAUGGCGAAGGCAGAUCUC